rnacentral:lncRNA from 10 species
GCAUGAGCCACCAUGCCUGUCCCAUUGCAGCCAUUUUUAAGUGUGCACAAUUUAGUGAUAUAUUUCCAUUGUUGUGCAAGACAAUGUUUUUUAGAGUGUUAGAUGUUCAUUAUUAUUGAGCAGAAAAAUUGUCAUCUGUAAAACCAUGAAGUUCCAGGGAAGUGUUGGUGGACAUUUGCAUGUUUGUGACGUGAUGGCCACCAUCCUACUGCAAGCACCAGAGCUGCCUAAAUGCAAUCAUAUAUUGCAUUUUGAAAGUCUUAACCACUUCAGGGGUAGGAGAGGACAAUAAACUCAAGAAAAAAUUCUCCUGGACAGAUCAUUCCUAGGGCUCUUCUAUCGACUCCCUGAGUAUCCAUCACUCACAGAAUGCUUCAUUAAUUGGUAAGAAAACCCACUGAAGAAAUAGAAUAGUGGUACUCAUUUUCAAGAUUUAUCUUAUCUGUAUGCAACCUCUCCCUUUCCCUUCCUUGUAUUAAUCCCUAAAAACGCCUGUAAACAUUUUGUUCAUAUUGUUAAAUAUUAACUCAGGACGUUGCUCAUUAUCCGUAACACAGCUAUAGGCUUGGCCCUGUUGUUUGCCAUGUUCUGCCAUAAAG